GAGGGUAGAGCUCAGUGAUGAGAGUGCUUACUUAGUGUGCAUGAGGUCCUGGGUUCAAUCCCACUACCUCCA
rnacentral:tRNA from 1 species